CAACUCCCAACUUGUAUGAAAGAUAAUCUCCACCACAUUACAGGAAGGGUAUCCCACCGAAAGCUCAGCGAGGGCAAUGAAAAACGUAUCUGUAACAUGCGACGGCUGUGGAGACGAUGGUGUGUGUUUUGUUUGUGGGAUGGUGUGCAUCGGGUUUGGAUUUUCUUGAAACGGAUUUUUUGGAUUUUGUGACUGUAUCUUUGGUGGCGGAGUUUGUGGAACUGCCAGAGGUCGUUAACCGGUGGUAGUGGUGGUGGUGGUGAAUUUUGGAGUUGUUAUGGUGGUUGUUACAGUGGAGGUGGUGAUUCUCAACGACGUUGUCUAAUGCUUUUG
rnacentral:lncRNA from 1 species